AAACCAUGUCCCUCAUUACAACAUCUUAAACGUUCCUUGAACACUUCCAGGGUCUGUGACUCCACCACCUCCCUGUGCGGCCCAUUCCAGCGCUUGACCCCUCUUUUGGAGAAGCUGUAUUUCCUAACCUACUCUAAAUUUGCAUUUAAAAAGGAUUCAUUGUAAGAACAGCCUGCAACCCUGUCUCUGAUGGAUUACAUUCAUACCUUGGGUAGCUAGCUGCAUCUUUCAAGCUCAGUUUUCUUGUUUUAAGACUAGCUUCUGUUGUGAGAACAGAACUUGCCAUGUGUUUCUUGAAGCUGUAUAGUAGUGCUCCUGUCUUUAACAUCUGAGCAUUCUACAUUGUAGCUGUGACAGCAGGUAUGGUUUCUAGUUUGAAAAAAAAAAAAAGUAAAAAAAACAAACUCUAGAAGGACAGUGUUCAUACAUAUUUCACUGUUAGCUCAUUUAUCCAAACGCAUUUAAAAUAUUGCCAAAAAGCCUUGGUCAUUCUCUUUUUCUGUUGUUAAUGCAGAAUCCCUUCAGUACUUCUUCAAAAUAGUCUAAUUAUUAAAGUACAACCAUUUUUCAAACUGAAAUUUGAGAAGAAUUGUGCUAAAUUACUCUGCAAGGAUGGUAGUGUGCAGUAAGUGCUAUAGAGAUCAUUUGCAUUUUUGGAUGAGUAAUUAGUAUUAAAUGAAAUUAAGUGAAUUAUAUACAAUUUUCAUUUCAUUUCAUACAAUUUAUAUACCUUACAGAACAUGAGGGUUUUUUCAGAUUGUUGUUCUUUAACUUUUAUGGACCUGAAAUAAUGACAUUUCAGAUAUAAGAGAAAACUGCAUUAUGGGUUUUGGGGAAGGCAGAGUUAAAAUUCAUAAGUACAGGUUUGUGAGUAGUAAAAGAUAUGCCAUAUUUUUUUCUUAUUCAAAAUACUAAUCUAAAUGUCAGUUUGGAGUUCAUAAUUCUUAAAAAUGUUAGUAUGUUUUUUCUGAUCUAGUUUUUCACAAAGAGUCUCAUAGUUCCUUCUCCUUGGACUGAACAUGAAGACAAGCAAGUUUCACAGUUUAAUUCAACAAAAUUCCAGACUACAUGAUUUUCUGCAGAUCUGUUUGCGUGAAAACAGCCUAUCCAAGGUAGAGGAGUGGACAAAGUUUUGGGCAAAGUGAUGCUCCUUCACAAAGCUUCCAGAAAGCCAUAGAUCUAAAUAACAUUUCUCCAAUUGGAAGACAACUAACUUUGCCUGGGAAAAGCAAUG